rnacentral:rRNA from 1 species
UACGGAGGAUGCAAGCGUUAUCCGGAUUCAUUGGGUUUAAAGGGUGCGUAGGCGGACUAUUAAGUCAGUGGUGAAAGCCUGCAGCUUAACUGCAGAACUGCCAUUGAUACUGAUAGUCUUGAGUUUGGUUAAGGUAGGCGGAAUGUGUAAUGUAGCGGUGAAAUGCUUAGAUAUUACACGGAACACCAAUUGCGUAGGCAGCUUACUGAGCCGACACUGACGCUGAGGCACGAAAGCGUGGGGAUCGAACAGGA